UCUCACCAACCACCAAAUACAUUUAGCAAACAAUGGCUUCCUCUGCUCCUACAUUCUACACCAUGUUUCUGUUCCUCUGCUUUGCCCUCCUCUUAUUCUCUACAUCGGAGGUGGAAGCACAAUUUUGUGAACAGCCUAGCAAAGUCCAAACAGGAGGGAAUCGUUGUACAGUCUUUGGAGAGGGAAGCUGUUCAGAUCAGUGCGUCAACGACGAAAAAGCAUUUUCCGGUUCUUGUAUGCGUCAUGGAGAUGGUUACGAAUGCCAUUGCUUCUUCGUCUGCUAAAAAGUUCAGUUCGUUUCUGCUAAUGCAGUGUCCUCUUAUAAAGUUUCCUAGAAAAUAAAAUAAAAUAAUGGACACGAAAACUUUGCAAUAUAGAAUAAAUGGGAGUUGUUUUUAAGAUUUCACCAUUUUCUACGGAUAUGGUCAUAGAAAUCUCUACAAAAGCAGAGGGUGUGUAAUAUACUCUUCCUGUGAUGGAUGUAAAACGUGUUAUGAAAUUGUAGUGUAUUAGCUAUAAAAAAAAUAGCAAUUUCUCAAAUA